UCAACCGUUCUCCACCGCGUCCAGGACGAGGCGGCGGCGAAUUUCACGGGGGCGCGCGAGGACGAAAUAGAGGCCGGCCGCGGGGAGCGGUGCUGGCGGCGCUCGGCCUACGGGCGCGAGGAACAGCGGGACGGCAGGGCGUCCAAGCACUACGCGAGCAGCGACGAGUUGCUGCAGGAGACGGACGCGGGUCCGUUGACGAGCAGAGGUCGGGGAGGAGACGAGCCGGUCGGGCGACGGGAAGAGGGCGGUCGCAGAACUUGAAGCGGCGGAUGGUGAGGCCGAUGGCGAGCACGAGCCAGAGGAGAAGGGGCGCGCAGUCGGGUGGCCCUCGAGUCGCAGCAGCGGUGCGGCCUGUGAGGGGAGAGGCGCUAGGGCGCGGGCGGAGUUCGCCAGCAGCUGCCUCGACCAUCAGCCAGAUCCGCAGCCUCGAACCGGGUGCCAACGCCCUAGCCUCGGUCACCCUCGCGUCUCCAACACGAGCACGGGUUGUGUUCUUCGAUCUCCUCAUACAAAGGACUUCUGCCCCUCGACCGAAAUCGAAAUCCAGCGCGAAGUCCCGCCGGAAUUUCUGCACAAGAUCAAGAUGGAUAUUGCCACGGCCGAAGUUCCGCCCCAGCUCGACAUUGCCGACACUGAGAAGGAAUUUGGGGAUGGGCGGGCGACCUUGGCGAAGCUGAGAGGGGGCCUUUUGCUUCCGGUGCGUUAUGGAGCCGAGGCUUCGCGUGUGGAGCUGCGCGGAAGGUGUUCGAUUAUAUGCCCCUUUGAUAUAUGUCGUGGAAUGGUCUGCAAGAGUUUCUCAGCAUGAAGUCUUGUUAAACAGGAUCACGGAUGCAGGAGUUUCUCAGUAUGAUGGCCGGUGAGGUUCGGCCUGUCGAGUGAGUUCAGCUUCGCCACUGUCCUAACUGCAAUGCAGUACACUAUCUUAUUCUGAAAUCUGGGUAUCACUAGAAUCUUUUUCUAUGCAGUUUUUUUUACUGAAUGUGAACUGGAGAUGUGGUCACGUUCACUUGCCUAGGAAGAAUCAAGAAUCUCUUCGAUGCAAUCAUAAAUAAUGAUGUUGUAUAGUGGACUCCUGUGAUUUCUGUGUUUAUUCCGUAUAGAAACUAAUGAAGUGCCAUUUCAUGUCUUCAUCUAUGCAAAAUGUGUGUGCUGCUUGUGCAGCCCAUACACAUCGCAUCAAGUUUUUUUCCCACUUUGUUGUAUAUGAGCUGAAUCCUAAACGGAAUAAUACGAGGUUCCUUUUCA